GUCCUCGCGCCGUUGGCGCAGCCAAUAAGCAUAGAGCUGUGGGGGGAAGGGCAAGAGCGCGGGCCUGUUGUCACCGCCCUUCGUGGGCGGGAGAGAGAGGGCCUGCUCUCCGCCCUCGCCCCCACCCCGGAAGCGCUGAGCCGGGGCUGCCGGCCCCUUCGUUUCAGCUGGGCACUGGAGGCUCUCCGAGUGCCGGGCAGUGUCGAGUCCUGCAUGAGCCUCCUUAUCCCCAUUUCGCAGGUGGGGCGCCAUAUGACGACCACACGAGAAGAGAAAGGCACGUGGGUCCCGCUGCCCCAGUACUGUGGACUUCUGCCCCGUCCCUGCUUGUCUUUAGAGAAGUGGCUAGCUGUGGUAGUGUGAAGUCAGCUAGAAGCCCUCCACAGUCUGUGCAACUCUGACUACAAACAUUAGCUCAGCCCUGCAUGGGAGGCGCUGCCAAGAGGCUCAACAGCAGUGGCCUUAGAGUUGUUGGGGUCCUGGGCAAGCGAGUCAUUUGGGGCCCCUUAGAGGUAUGUACUCAGGAGCUUCCCCAGCAGCUGCCAGAGGACUCUCCCUGCCAGCCCCAGGGCUUAGAUGUGCCCAGGGCCCUGCAUCCUUCCAAUCAGCUGACCAAGAACGGGUGCUAGGGGUGUUGAUCUAAGGACAUGGCACUUGCAGAUAAGGUUCGGUGAUUCAGCCGCCGAAUCUUCUCCGAAUUGAAUCGCAGACCAAAGCUUCGCGCACCCCUAGUAGCAGGCUCCUUAGAAAUCUUUGCUACUGAAAGGAUUCUGAAAGCAAGUUAUGGGAUAUCUCUUUUUUUAUCCUUAAUUUUCAUGGGUAUUCUCCACAGCACCUUAAAUGUCAGUUCCAUCAUGGAAGAGGCCCUCUCUAGAAAGUUAUUGCUAGUUUCUUAGGUAUGGGGUUAUCCUUUGCUUAAAUCCAUACCAGCAUUGUAUAUUAUUCCAUUUGCAAUUGGAAAGCAUAUAUAUUAGUUUAACUCUUGUGAACAUGAUAUAUUUGCUCAAUGCUGUUGUUAUUUAGCAUUUAUAUCAUAGUGCCCAAAGAUGCAACUAGGUUGGAUCCAAUAGUGCUGAACCCAUCUGAAACAGAAACCUUUCCCCAAAUAGUUUUGUUCUGCCUGAAUGUCAGCUUGUAUAAAUUUUGUUUUGCUCACCUAAAUGUAAGGAAACAGAUCAAGAGGAUACAGUAUUCUUCAGAUCCUUGUACCUAAUUCUGCAAGGUAGUCCACACUGCAGAAACCCCACUGACUUCAGAUAAACUCUACCAAAAGAAGUUAAUAAAUUUGCCCCAACAAAUACAAG